rnacentral:rRNA from 1 species
GCAUCCUUCGGGGUGAGUGGCAGACGGGUGAGUAACGCGUGGGAACGUGCCCUUCAGUUCGGAAUAACCCAGGGAAACUUGGGCUAAUACCGGAUACGUGCGAGAGCAGAAAGAUUUAUCGCUGAAGGAUCGGCCCGCGUCUGAUUAGCUAGUUGGUGGGGUAAUGGCCCACCAAGGCGACGAUCAGUAGCUGGUCUGAGAGGAUGAUCAGCCACAUUGGGACUGAGACACGGCCCAAACUCCUACGGGAGGCAGCAGUGGGGAAUAUUGGACAAUGGGCGCAAGCCUGAUCCAGCCAUGCCGCGUGAGUGAUGAAGGCCUUAGGGUUGUAAAGCUCUUUCAGCGGGGACGAUAAUGACGGUACCCGCAGAAGAAGCCCCGGCUAACUUCGUGCCAGCAGCCGCGGUAAUACGAAGGGGGCUAGCGUUGUUCGGAAUCACUGGGCGUAAAGGGCGCGUAGGCGGCUUUGUAAGUCGGGGGUGAAAGCCUGUGGCUCAACCACAGAAUUGCCUUCGAUACUGCAUGGCUUGAGACCGGAAGAGGUUAGUGGAACUGCGAGUGUAGAGGUGAAAUUCGUAGAUAUUCGCAAGAACACCAGUGGCGAAGGCGGCUGACUGGUCCGGUUCUGACGCUGAGGCGCGAAAGCGUGGGGAGCAAACAGGAUUAGAUACCCUGGUAGUCCACGCCGUAAACGAUGAAUGCCAGCCGUUGGCGAGCUUGCUCGUCAGUGGCGCAGCUAACGCUUUA